AGGUGAACAGCCUCUGGUC
rnacentral:snRNA from 1 species